rnacentral:tRNA from 1 species
GGGGGUGUAGCUCAGUUGGGAGAGCGUCGCGUUCGCAAUGCGAAGGUCAGGGGUUCGAAUCCCCUCAUCUCCACCA